GUUAGAUUGAAACAUGAAACAUGGUGGACAAUGUACUGGUUUAACUUGUUAAAAUAAAGUUAAAGACAUUUAACAAACAGAAGAGUUCAUUAGUUUUUCCAUUAAAAACACUUUCUUAAAAUACUUAUGUAUUUAUAUCAUUUGGAAAGUGACAUGAAAUAUUGCUAAAGAGUGAUGCAUACAGUGUUUGAGCAGUCUGUCUAGGAAUAGAACAACAACUGAAGUUGAUGGAAGAUACUGCAGAGUUUGGCAGGGAAAUAAUCCAACAGCAAAGCGGCUCUUUAAGCGCAUUUACCUAGAGGACUUACAGGGCUACAAAUUCAUGAGCACAUGUGAGCAGUAUACAAUGUACCUCAUACCAAAAAGGACCCGGAGGCAGUGACUGGUGUUCAAUAUUCUCAGAAGAAAAGGAAAAUGGCAGUGGAAGACUUGGACAAACAUUUUUAGCCUCUGUGUUAAGCCUGGCAGUCUGUGGCUGGUGACAUGUUUUAUUUUGGUUACUUCUUGUAAAAAAAAGACCAGUUAUUUAUUUUGUGAAUUGUAUUUUGUGUUUGUUUUUUGUCUUAAUUUAUUUGUUGUUUUUUUUAAUUUAGGAAUUUGAAACUUGGAUAAUUGAAUUAAGUCCGUGUUCAACAGUACUGAGCAUAGUAUUAUAAAUAACAAAUUUACAACAGUUGUUAAUUUGUUAUGUAUUAUUAUUAACUAUGCUCAGUACUUGAAUACUGGCUGUCUGCAUGGGAAUUUGUUUUCUAGAAAGUUGGUUUCAGACUUAAAUAUUUUAAGUUAACCUUCGGAACUUUUCUAGAAUUGUACUGGAACACAUCAACUAGAACUGAACUUCUGUUAUCGUACUGAAAGUGUUCUAGAAUUAAUAAGGAACAGUUGUUGAACGUUAAAAUUUCUGAGAAAAAACUAUAGAACAAUUGUGUGUGAUGUGUGUGUGCAUGUAAUUGUGUGUGUUUAUGAACAUAUGUGAGAAAGGAAGUAUACUUGUCAUAAGAGAAAUGUAAAAUUCUACUUCUAUGUUUUAUAUUGUGCCUUUUAUAAGUUUUUCUGUUCUCACCUGUAUAUGCGUGCAUGUUUAUGGAUGUGUUUUUGAAUGUGUGCAUGCAUGCCUGUGGUUAAGAGAGUUGGUACUUUAUAAAAAUGUAAAACCACUCAUUUUUAGCUCAUCUAUUUUUUGAAAAAAAAUUAUGAGCUAUUGUCAUCACCUUGGCGUCGGCGUCGGCGUUGGCGUUGGCGUUGGCGUUGGCGUUGGCGUCGGCGUCCGGUUAAGUUUUGCGUUUAGGUCCACUUUUCUCAGAAAGUAUCAAUGCUAUUGCAUUCAAACUUGGUACACUUACUUACUAUCAUGAGGGGACUAGGCAGGCAAAGUUAGAUAACUCUGGCGUGCAUUUUGACAGAAUUAUGUGCCCUUUUUAUACUUAAAAAAUUGCAAAUUUUGGUUAAGUUUUGCGUUUAGUUCCACUUUUCUCAGUAAGUAUCAAUGCUAUUGCAUUCAAACUUGGUACACUUACUUACUAUCAUGAGGGGACUGGGCAGGCAAAGUUAGAUAACUCUGGCAUGCAUUUUGACAGAAUUAUGUGCCCUUUUUAUACUUAGAAAAUUGACAAUUUUGGUUAAGUUUUGUGUUUAGGUCCAUUUUAUUCCUUAAGCAUCAAAGCUAUUGCUUUCAUACUUGCAACACUUACUAACUAUCAUAAGGGGACUGUGCAGGCAAAGUAAUGUAACUCUGACUGGCAUUUUGACAGAAUUAUGUGCCCUUUUUAUACUUAGAAAAUUGAAAAUUUGAUUAAGUUUUGUGUUUAGGUCCACUUUAUUCCUACAGUAUCAAAGCUAUUGCUUUCAUACUUGCAAGAUUUAUGAACUAUCAUAAGGGGACGGUGCAGGCAAAGUUAUGUAACUCUGACUGGCAUUUGGACGGAAUUAUGGGCCCUUUAUACUUAGAAAAUUGAAAAUUUGGUUAAGAUUUAUGUUUUGGUCACUUUACCCCUAAAGUAUCAUAGAUAUUGCUUUCAUACUUGGAACACUCACAAACUAUCAUAAGGGUACAGUAAAAGGACAAGUUGCAUAACUCUGGUUGUCAUUGUUACGGAAUUAUGGCCCUUUUUUGACUUAGUAACUUUUAAUAUAUGGUUAAAUUUUGUGUUUCGAUCCACUCGAAGUAUCAAGGCUAUUGCUUUCAAACUUCAAAUACUUACAUGCUAUCAUGAGGUUACUGUACCUGGCAACUUGAAUUUUACUUUGACCUUUGAAUGACCUUGACUCUCAAGGUCAAAUUAUUAAAUUUUGCUAAAAUUGCCAUAACUUCUUUAUUUAUGAUUAGAUUUGAUUGAUACUUUGAUGAAACUACUCUUACCUGACAUACCACAAUAGACUUCACCCAAA